GACGAACGCUGGCGGCGUGCUUAACACAUGCAGGUCGAACGAAGAGCGAUGGAAGCUUGCUUCUAUCAAUCUUAGUGGCGAACGGGUGAGUAACGCGUAAUCAACCUGCCCUUCAGAGGGGGACAACAGUUGGAAACGACUGCUAAUACCGCAUACGAUCUAAUCUCGGCAUCGAGGAUAGAUGAAAGGUGGCCUCUACAUGUAAGCUAUCACUGAAGGAGGGGAUUGCGUCUGAUUAGCUAGUUGGAGGGGUAACGGCCCACCAAGGCGAUGAUCAGUAGCCGGUCUGAGAGGAUGAACGGCCACAUUGGGACUGAGACACGGCCCAGACUCCUACGGGAGGCAGCAGUGGGGAAUCUUCCGCAAUGGACGAAAGUCUGACGGAGCAACGCCGCGUGAGUGAUGACGGCCUUCGGGUUGUAAAGCUCUGUUAAUCGGGACGAAAGGCCUUCUUGCGAAUAGUGAGAAGGAUUGACGGUACCGGAAUAGAAAGCCACGGCUAACUACGUG
rnacentral:rRNA from 1 species